rnacentral:lncRNA from 1 species
UGGCAGGAGAUAAUCUUGGACUACUUGGUGAGUAGGCCAGCGACGGACUGUAUUUGGCAGACUGAGGAUUGUAGCUUGGGGAUGUAGGACUAUAGGUUGGUGAAGUUGGGCUAUAACUUGGUGAAGUUGGACUAUAACCAGGAGAAGUGGGGCUAUAGGCUGGUGAAGUGGGGCUGUACGAUGGAGAAGUAGGGCUGUAUGACGGUGAGGUAGGGCUGUACGAAGGUGAUGUUGGGCUGUAGGAAGGAGAGGUUGGGCUGUACGAUGGUGAGGUGGGGCUGUAUGCAGGUGAGGUGGGGCUAUAUGCAGGUGAGGUGGGGCUAUAUGCCGGUGAGGUGGGGCUAUAGCUUGGUGAAGUUGGACUGUAACUGGGAGAAGUGGGGCUGUAACUUGGAGAGGUCGGGCUGUAGCUUGGGGAU